CUAAUCGGAAAAGAGCA
rnacentral:rRNA from 1 species